CCAGCAAUCAGCCAGAGUUAAUAGAUGACUCGGCUGGCGGCUUCCGGGAAACCAAAGUGUUUCGGUUCCAGGGGAAGUAUGGUUGCAAAGCUGAAACUUAAAGGAAUUGACGGAAGGGCACCACCAGGAGUGGAGCCUGCGGCUUAAUUUGACUCAACACGGGGAAACUCACCCGGCCCGGACACUGGAAGGAUUGACAGAUUGAGAGCUCUUUCUUGAUUCAGUGGGUGGUGGUGCAUGGCCGUUCUUAGUUGGUGGAGUGAUUUGUCUGGUUAAUUCCGAUAACGAACGAGACUCUAGCCUACUAAAUAGACUCCGACGCGCCUCGGCUCGUCUCGGAGAGCUUCUUAGAGGGACAGGCGGCGUUGCAGCCGCAUGAGAAAGAGCAAUAACAGGUCUGUGAUGCCCUUAGAUGUCCGGGGCCGCACGCGCGCUACACUGAAGAGAGCAGCGCGCCUGUGCUUCCUACUCCGAAAGGAGCGGGGAACCGAGUGAACCCUUUUCGUGCUUGGGAUUGGGGAUUGCAAUUAUUCUCCAUGAACGAGGAAUUCCCAGUAAGCGCAAGUCAUCAGCUUGUGUUGAUUACGUCCCUGCCCUUUGUACACACCGCCCGUCGCUACUACCGAUUGGAUGUUUUAGUGAGGUCUUCGGACUGGCCGGUGCAGCGGGCCUCGUGUUCGCAGCACUGUUGCUGGAAAGAUGACCAAACUUGAACAUCUAG
rnacentral:rRNA from 1 species